rnacentral:tRNA from 1 species
GAGGGUAUAGCUCAGUGGUAGAGCUCAUGCUUAGCAUGUAUGAGGUCCUGGGUUCAAUCCCCAGUACCUCCA